UUUGACCUCGAAUCAGGUAGGACUACCCGCUGAACUUAAGCAUAUCAAUAAGCGGAGGAAAAGAAACCAACAGGGAUUGCCCUAGUAACGGCGAGUGAAGCGGCAACAGCUCAAAUUUGAAAUCUGGCCUUCGGGUCCGAGUUGUAAUUUGUAGAGGAUGCUUUUGGUGCGGUGCCUUCCGAGUUCCCUGGAACGGGACGCCAUAGAGGGUGAGAGCCCCGUCUGGUUGGAUACCAAUCCUCUGUAAAGCUCCUUCGACGAGUCGAGUAGUUUGGGAAUGCUGCUCUAAAUGGGAGGUAUAUGUCUUCUAAAGCUAAAUACCGGCCAGAGACCGAUAGCGCACAAGUAGAGUGAUCGAAAGAUGAAAAGCACUUUGAAAAGAGAGUUAAAAAGUACGUGAAAUUGUUGAAAGGGAAGCGCUURUGACCAGACUUGGGCUUGGUUGAUCAUCCUGGGUUCUCCCUGGUGCACUCUUCCAGUUCAGGCCAGCAUCAGUUCGCUGCGGGGGAUAAAAGUUUUGGGAAUGUGGCUCCUUCGGGAGUGUUAUAGCCCAUUGCAUAAUACCCUGCUCCGGACUGAGGUUCGCGCAUCUGCAAGGAUGCUGGCGUAAUGGUCAUCAGCGACCCGUCUUGAAACACGGACCAAGGAGUCGUCUUCGUAUGCGAGUGUUCGGGUGUUAAACCCCUACGCGUAAUGAAAGUGAACGCAGGUGAGAGCUUCGGCGCAUCAUCGACCGAUCCUGAUGUUCUCGGAUGGAUUUGAGUAAGAGCAUACGGGGCCGGACCCGAAAGAAGGUGAACUAUGCCUGUAUAGGGUGAAGCCAGAGAAACCUCUGGUGGAGCUCGCAGCGGUUCUGACGUGCAAAUCGAUCGUCAAUAUGGGCAUGGGGGCGAAGACUAAUCGACCUUCUAGUAGCUGGUUCCGCCGAAGUUCCCUCAGA
rnacentral:rRNA from 1 species